AUGCCCGAAGGGUGACGAAGCGACGCCGCGUGGGUGAGGAAGGCCCUCGGGUUGUAAAGCCCUGUCAGGAGUUAAGAAAUGUAGGUGUGCUAAUAUCACGCCUAUUUGACGAAGGCUCCAAAGGAAGUCACGGCUAACUCUGUGCCAGCAGCCGCGGUAAUGCAGAGGUGGCAAGCGUUGUUCGGAAUUAUUGGGCGUAAAGAGCACGUAGGUGGGUUUGUAAGUCAGAUGUGAAAGCCUCCUGUUCAACGGGAGAAUUGCAUCUGAAACUACUGAUCUUGAGUGUAGGAGGGGAGAAUGGAACUUCUGGUGGAGCGGUGAAAUGCGUAGAUAUCAGAAGGAACGCCGGCGGCGAAAGCGAUUCUCUGGCCUAUUACUGACACUCAGUGUGCGAAAGCUAGGGGAGCAAACGGGAUUAGAUACCCCGGUAGUCCUAGCCGUAAACGAUGGGCACUAAGUAGAGGGGU
rnacentral:rRNA from 1 species